CGUAGGGUGCAGGCGUUAAUCGGAAUUACUGGGCGUAAAGCGUGCGCAGGCGGUCUCUUAAGACAGGUGUGAAAUCCCCGGGCUUAACCUGGGAACUGCGCUUGUAACUGAGAGGCUGGAGUGUGGCAGAGGGGGGUGGAAUUCCAGGUGUAGCAGUGAAAUGCGUAGAGAUCUGGAGGAACACCGAUGGCGAAGGCAGCCCCCUGGGCUAACACUGACGCUCAUGCACGAAAGCGUGGGGAGCAAACAGGAUUAGAUACCCUGGUAGUCCACGCCCUAAACUAUGUCAACUGGUUGUCGGGGAAGCAAUUCCUUGGUAACGAAGCUAACGCGUGAAGUUGACCGCCUGGGGAGUACGGCCGCAAGGUUA
rnacentral:rRNA from 1 species